UGACAUCAUCAAAAGCGUCAGUGAGUCAUAGUGAGCGUGUAUAAAGAGAUCUAUCCAUGGGGGCUACUUUCCCUUUAAUGUGCAACAAAGGACCACCAAGUGCAGUGUAGGACAACCAUUCGUUACCUCACUUGCCGAGCCGCCAAUUGAACAAGGAGGAGGUGCUGCAUGUAUCGCCCCGAGGAAUAGGCAUCACCCAACCUAGGAUGCACAUAGGCUCAACCCGAAGUUCCACCGUACCUGUCAUCCACCCAAGAUCCCUUCGCAAGGAAGCAGUCCAUACUCGUCAUCAGACUCCUCCGUCCUCAAUGGGCCCAGCUCCAGUCACGGAACUGUCGGCAGACGACCCUCCCCACAUGGUCCAACAAGAGGCCGAAAAAAUCAAUCAAAACGUCACCAUGUAUAACCAAAAAAAUGUACAAAAAAUGCAGAAAAACCAAAAAUCUAAAUAAAGUACAAAAAGUCAAAAAACGA